rnacentral:rRNA from 1 species
UACGUAGGGUGCAAGCGUUGUCCGGAAUUAUUGGGCGUAAAGAGCUCGUAGGCGGUUUGUCGCGUCUGCUGUGAAAACUCGGGGCUUAACUCCGGGCCUGCAGUGGGUACGGGCAGACUAGAGUGCGGUAGGGGAGACUGGAAUUCCUGGUGUAGCGGUGAAAUGCGCAGAUAUCAGGAGGAACACCGGUGGCGAAGGCGGAUCUCUGGGCCUGACCUGACGCUGAGGAGCGAAAGCGUGGGGAGCGAACAGG